rnacentral:rRNA from 1 species
AAUAUUGCACAAUGCGCGAAAGCGUGACGCAGCAACGCCGCGUGGAGGAAGACGGCCUUCGGGUUGUAAACUCCUUUCAGUUGGGACGAAGCUCCGACGGUGAAUAGCCGCUCGGGGUGACGGUACCUUCAGAAGAAGCCCCGGCUACCUACGUGCCAGCAGCCGCGGUAAUACGUAGGGGGCGAGCGUUGUCCGGAAUCAUUGGGCGUAAAGCGCGUGUAGGCGGUUCGGUAAGUCUGCUGUGAAAGUCCAGGGCUCAACCCUGGAAUGCCGGUGGAUACUGCCGAGCUUGAGUCCGGAAGAGGCGAGUGGAAUUCCUGGUGUAGCGGUGAAAUGCGCAGAUAUCAGGAGGAACACCGAUGGCGAAGGCAGCUCGCUGGGACGUGACUGACGCUGAGACGCGAAAGCGUGGGGAGCAAACAG